GGAAGUAUCCUUUUUUUUAGUAGGUAAAGAGAAAAAAUGUCUUUUGUUAUAGUUUAUUAGUAAAGUGAUUGAAAUUUGAAAUAUUUUUUAAUAGUUGAUAAGAAGAGUUGAUUUUUCGUACCUUGUGUAUCAGGGUUAAUAAAUUAUUUGAUUUGUAUAAAUUUUUCCCGAAUCAGAAAGAGCUAAUUUUGAAUGAUUAAAGUUGUUAAAUAAACUUAUUUAAUUCGUAAUUGGGGGCGAAACGUUAUUCGUUUUCUGAGAUAUCUGGUUUCUUAAGAAAUGAAUUUAAUUCUUUGGUUACUAAAAUUAUUUUCAAUUAUUGAUUUUUAUUUUGUAACUUGAAAUGACAGGUGGGAUGAGCUUCUUGUCAUAUAACUAAAAGCUUUUUUGUUUGGUUAAUUAGUAUAAUUAGAAUUGUUAAUCUUUAGAAUAAUUUUAUAGUUGAUUUUCUUUGUUUCAUUAUUUCUAUGGUUUUUAGGUUUUAUAUUAAGAUUUUUUUUUUAAUUUUUUAGAUUAAUUAAUAAUGAUUAAAUUAGUAAAAUUAAAUUUAGAUUGUUUUUUUUUUGUUAGGUUUAGAAAAGGAAUUCGGCAAAGGGUUUUCCGCCUGUUUAUUAAAAACAUGUCCUUUUGAAUUUGAUUUAAGGUCUAAUCUGCUCAAUGAGGAGUUAAAUUGCCGCGGUAUUAUGACCGUGCGAAGGUAGCAUAAUAAUUAGCUUUUUUAUUGAAAGCUGGAAUGAAUGAUUGGACGAGAAAACAUCUGUCUCUACUGAAUUUUUUGUUGAAUUUAACUUUUAAGUAAAAAGGCUUAAAUGUUUUAGAAAGACGAGAAGACCCUAUAGAGUUUAAUAUUUUUAUGAUUAAGAGGUUUUUGGUAUUUAUUUCUUUUAUUUUUUAAUUUAUUUAGUUGGGGUGACUAGAAGAAGGAAUAAACUCUUCUAUUAUUUUAUUAUUGAUUUGUAAAUAAUUAUUCUGGAUUUUUCAAGUUUAAUAUAAAUUACCUUAGGGAUAACAGCGUAAUUUCCUUUGAGAGUUCUUAUUUAAGGGGGAGUUUGCGACCUCGAUGUUGGAUUAAAAUUAAUAUUGGGUGCAGUAGCUCAAUUAUUAGGUCUGUUCGACCUUUAAAAUUUUACAUGAUCUGAGUUUAAACCGGCGUGAGCCAGGUUGGUUUCUAUCUUUUAGAUUUAAUUGCGUUUUAGUACGAAAGGACCGGACGCUUAAUAUAUUAUUUUUAUUUUGAAUUCUAUU
rnacentral:rRNA from 1 species